UACAGAGGUCCCGAGCGUUGUUCGGAUUCACUGGGCGUAAAGGGUGCGUAGGUGGUUGUGCAAGUCUGAUGUGAAAUCUCCGGGCUUAACCCGGAAAUGGCAUUGGAAACUGCAUGGCUAGAGGGUUGGAGGGGGGACUGGAAUACUUGGUGUAGCAGUGAAAUGCGUAGAUAUCAAGUGGAACACCAAUUGCGAAGGCAGCUUACUACACGAUCAUUGACACUGAGGCACGAAAGCGUGGGGAGCAAACAGG
rnacentral:rRNA from 1 species